rnacentral:tRNA from 1 species
CAAAAAAUAAUUUAAUUAAAAUAUUAACUUUGGAAGUUAAAAAUAUAUAUAAAAUAUUUUUUUGA